UUCAACAUUGGGGGAUGUUUCCAUAACCGGCACUUGGCGAAAUUGCGGAUUUGUUUACAUCGGAAGUGAGCGUACGUGCGCCAGAAUAUGGUAACCCUGAUAAUUGUUGCAACCCACACAGGGAAUUUUCCUGAAGGAGGAAAAGGGAAAUUUUCUGUUUACUUUUCGAACAUUACGGUAAGAGAAAAUAAAGUUUGAAAGUCGCAAAUCAUUAUUAGUUCAUAUUUUCGCAAAACGUUUAUGGGGUUUAUUUUUCGAACAUUACGGUUGAACUGCCCUUCAAUGAAAGCUUUUGCUCGAUGUGUGGCCUGUAAUAGCAAUAAAUGGGACUUUUGUGAACUGAAAUCUGUUAGGCUUUCCAAAAUCCAGAAAGCUGAUUAGGUGUGCAGAAGCAGCAGACUUGUAAAUGUGAAGGAGCUAUUUGCUUAGUUAUGCAGUAGAAUUCACCACCCUGCGGCAAGCUUCAUUAAAGCUGUGAACAGCCAAGCUAACCAUCUUCAGGGCAAGUGGCUGCAUCAAGCAAACCCAGUGACAUUCCAAAGAGGAAUGUCAGUCAAAAUAAAAACUUAAUACCUAAAUCUCGGAAAAUCAGACAAUUAAGCCACAAAUCUUGUGACCAAUUUUUCAGUUGCUGUGCUUAGUGCGAUAAAGUUAUAUGGCAAUAAACUGAAAAGCUAUGGCAGGUAUUCUAUUGUACCCUUUAAUGAAAUCAAUUUAAAGCAAGCUUAUCAUAUGAUAAGCAAAAUGAUUGUAUCAUUGGAUGGUAAUGAUUGCAUUGCUGGGUAU